rnacentral:rRNA from 1 species
GGACGAACGCUGGCGGCGUGCUUAACACAUGCAAGUCGAACGGAAAGGCCCUGCUUUUGUGGGGUGCUCGAGUGGCGAACGGGUGAGUAACACGUGAGUAACCUGCCCUUGACUUUGGGAUAACUUCAGGAAACUGGGGCUAAUACCGGAUAGGAGCUCCUGCUGCAUGGUGGGGGUUGGAAAGUUUCGGCGGUUGGGGAUGGACUCGCGGCUUAUCAGCUUGUUGGUGGGGUAGUGGCUUACCAAGGCUUUGACGGGUAGCCGGCCUGAGAGGGUGACCGGACACAUUGGGACUGAGAUACGGCCCAGACUCCUACGGGAGGCAGCAGUGGGGAAUAUUGCACAAUGGGCGGAAGCCUGAUGCAGCAACGCCGCGUGCGGGAUGACGGCCUUCGGGUUGUAAACCGCUUUCGCCUGUGACGAAGCGUGAGUGACGGUAAUGGGUAAAGAAGCACCGGCUAACUACGUG